UACGUAGGGUGCGAGCGUUAAUCGGAAUUACUGGGCGUAAAGCGUGCGCAGGCGGCUUUGCAAGACAGAUGUGAAAUCCCCGGGCUCAACCUGGGAAUUGCAUUUGAAACUGGCCAACUAGAGUACGUGAGAGGGGGGUAGAAUUCCAAGUGUAGCGGUGAAAUGCGUAGAUAUGCGGAGGAACACCAAUGGCGAAGGCAAUCCCCUGGGCCUGUACUGACGCUCAUGCACGAAAGCGUGGGGAGCAAACAGG
rnacentral:rRNA from 1 species